rnacentral:rRNA from 1 species
GUGGGGAAUCUUGCGCAAUGGGCGAAAGCCUGACGCAGCCAUGCCGCGUGAAUGAUGAAGGUCUUAGGAUUGUAAAAUUCUUUCACCGGGGACGAUAAUGACGGUACCCGGAGAAGAAGCCCCGGCUAACUUCGUGCCAGCAGCCGCGGUAAUACGAAGGGGGCUAGCGUUGCUCGGAAUUACUGGGCGUAAAGGGCGCGUAGGCGGACAGUUUAGUCAGAGGUGAAAGCCCAGGGCUCAACCUUGGAAUUACCUUUGAUACUGGCUGUCUUGAGUACGGGAGAGGUGAGUGGAACUCCGAGUGUAGAGGUGAAAUUCGUAGAUAUUCGGAAGAACACCAGUGGCGAAGGCGACUCACUGGCCCGUUACUGACGCUGAGGCGCGAAAGCGUGGGGAGCAAACAGGAUUAGAAACCCUAGUAGUCC